rnacentral:rRNA from 1 species
ACGCUGGCGGCGUGCCUAACACAUGCAAGUCGAACGGAGAUUACAGACGGAAGUUUUCGGAUGGAAGGCUGUAAUUCUUAGUGGCGGACGGGUGAGUAACGCGUGGGCAACCUGCCCUAUACAGGGGGAUAGCAGCUGGAAACGGCUGGUAAGACCGCAUAAGUCGGUUAAACCGCAUGGUUUGACUGGGAAAUGAGCAAUCAGGUAUAGGAUGGGCCCGCGUCCGAUUAGCCAGUUGGCAGGGUAAAAGCCUACCAAAGCAACGAUCGGUAGCCGGACUGAGAGGUCGGACGGCCACAUUGGGACUGAGAGACGGCCCAAACUCCUACGGGAGGCAGCAGUGGGGGAUAUUGCACAAUGGAGGGAACUCUGAUGCAGCGACGCCGCGUGAGUGAAGAAGUAUUUCGGUAUGUAAUGCUCUAUCAGCAGGGAAGAUGAUGACGGUACCCGACUAAGAAGCCCCGGCUAACUACGUGCCAGCAGCCGCGGUAAUACGUAGGGGGCAAGCGUUAUCCGGAUUUACUGGGUGUAAAGGGAGCGCAGGCGGUUUGGCAAGUUGAGAGUGGAAGCAGGGGGCUCAACCCCCUGACUGCUCCCAAAACUGUUAAACUUGAGUAUGGGAGAGGCAGGCGGAAUUCCUAGUGUAGCGGUGAAAUGCUUAGAUAUUAGGAAGAACACCGGUGGCGAAGGCGGCCUGCUGGACCAAAACUGACGCUGAGGCUCGAAAGCGUGGGUAGCAAACAGGAUUAGAUACCCUGGUAGUCCACGCUGUAAACGAUGAAUACUAGGUGCUGGGAGGCAUAAGCCUUUCGGUGCCGCCGCAAACGCAUUAAGUAUUCCACCUGGGGAGUACGUUCGCAAGAAUGAAACUCAAAGGAAUUGACGGGGACCCGCACAAGCGGUGG